rnacentral:pre_miRNA from 1 species
AAUGGAAUUGCUGGGUCAUAUGGUCACUCUGUAUUUACUUUUUGAGGAACCACCAGACCGUUUUCCAAAGCAGCUGCACCAUUUUACAUUCCCACCAGCAGU